rnacentral:rRNA from 1 species
AGCAACGGGAUUAGAUACCCCGGUAGUCUACGCUGUAAACGAUGGAUACUAGCAGUUUCGGGUUCGACCCCUGGAGUUGCGAAGCUAACGCGUUAAGUAUCCCACCUGUGUAGUACGAUCGCAGAUUAAAACAUAAAGGAAUUGACGGGGACCCGCACAAGCGGUGGAGCGUGAUCUUUAAUUGAUGGUAAACGAUAAACCUUACCAAGGCUUGACAUCUCGGGAAGGCUUCCGAAAGGAAUUGUGCCCUCGGGAACCCGAAGACAGGUGAUGCAUGGCCGUCGUCAGCUCGUGUCGUGAGAUUUUGGUUAAGUCCAUCAACGAGCGCAACCCUUGCAACCAGUUGGAUUUUUCUGGUAGGACGCCCCGGUAACGGGGAGGAAGGAGGGGAUGAUGUCAGGUCAGUAUUUCCCUUACGCCUUGGCUAGAAUCGCGCUACAAUGGCCGGUACAAUGCGAAGCGAAGCAGUGAUGUGAAGCAAACGCACCAAAGCCGGUCCCAGUUCGGAUUGGAGGCUGAAACUCGCCUUCAUGAAGUCGGAAUGCUAGUAAUCGCAGAUCAGCAUGUUGCGGUGAAUACGUUCCCGGGUCUUGUACACACCGCCGU